rnacentral:tRNA from 1 species
AGUAGAGUGGCUUAGUGGAAAGAGCAUGGGCCUGGGAGCCAGAGGAUCUGGAUUCUAAACCCAGCUCUGCCA